rnacentral:rRNA from 1 species
UACGUAGGGUCCGAGCGUUGUCCGGAAUUACUGGGCGUAAAGGGCGCGUAGGCGGCUCUAUUAGUCAGGCGUGAAAGUCCUGGGCUCAACCUGGGAACUGCGCUUGAUACGGCAGAGCUAGAGGAUGGAAGAAGCUCGCGGAAUUCCCAGUGUAGAGGUGAAAUUCGUAGAUAUUGGGAAGAACACCGGUGGCGAAGGCGGCGAGCUGGUCCAUUACUGACGCUGAGGCGCGACAGCGUGGGGAGCAAACAGG